UAUUUAAUUUAGUAGAGAGAAUUAUGGAUUUUUGGUCAAAAUUCCACCAAAUUGAUUUUAUUUUUUAAUAAAAUACGAUAAAAACAAGUGAUGGUGUUAAAAAUAGAGUAUUCUAAUGUAAAAAGUGUGAUGAUUUGUGUAUUGCAUAACUUAGAUAUGGAGCUCACACAAUGUAUUAAUAGGCCUAAGAAUAACUUUAAAGUAUAAUAUUUUAAAGUAAGAGAGACUAACAUAU
rnacentral:lncRNA from 1 species